AACUUAUGAUGAUUUGCCAUGCUAAUACCGAAAAAGUUUAAGACUUUUACUGAGUUAAUUUUCAAUUUUCUGAAGUUA